AUCAUCAAAAAUCAACAUUAAGCCACAUCAAGUCAUCAAAACUCAACAUUAAAGAAAUGUUCUUGUUCUCUAAGAAGUUUGACUGGUCAAAUGAUUUUAUUUUUAGAUGAGACUUUUUAUAUUAGGUAGAACAUAAAACCAGCUUUCCAACAAAUCCAAGAUUGCUUAAAUCUGAUUUAUAUU